AUGGCCCAAGAACACGCUCAUUCUUCAGCCGUAGAGAGACUUUUGAAUUGUGAGGUACCAUUACGAGCUCAAUAUAUAAGAGUGUUAUUCUAUGAAAUAACUCGAAUUUCAAAUCAUUCACUUGCUUCAACUACUCAUGCUAUGGGUGUGGGAGCAUCAACUCCGUUCCUUUGGGCUUUUGAGGAGCGGGAGAAAUUGUUGGAAUUCUAUGAAAGAGUCCCGGGAGCCAGGAUGCAUGCCAGUUUCAUACGACCUGGUGGAGUGGCACAAGAUUUGCCUCUUGGCUUAUGUCGAGAUAUUGAUUCCUCCACACAACAAUUUGCUUCUCGUAUCGACGAAUUAGAAGAGAUGUCAACCGGCAACCGUAUCUGGAAACACCGAUUAGUGGAUAUUGGUACUGUCACUGCACAACAAGCAAAGGAUUGGGGAUUCAGUGGUGUAAUGUUAAGAGGUCGUGCGACAUGA
rnacentral:rRNA from 1 species